rnacentral:tRNA from 1 species
GGGCAUUUGGUCUAGUGGUAUGAUUCUCGCUUUGGGGGCGAGAGGUUCCGAGUUCGAUUCUCGGAAUGCCCC